UUGUGGUGAAUGAAUGUUAUUAAAGCUAUCUAUGUCUUUACCAUGUACUUAUAAUAAUUAUUAACAAGGGAGUGUUGAAUUAUGGAGCUGAAGGUCAGUUUCCAGCUUGCUCACAAAUUUGAUGGUAACUUGUUGCUGCCUUGGCCUGGAAUAAUCAGCUUUGAGAAUUUACAUUAAAACAGAUGAGAAAGUAUAUAUAUGCAAAAGUGUUACUCUUUUUCAUUCAAAUUGUAAUACUACUAUAGGAGUGCUGUUUUUGGCUGUUCUAUGUUCUCUCUGUCACUCGCUCUCCGCCGCCACAACCAGGUACCACGACACCACCACCAGCAACCAUUCAAUCAACCUGAUCUGCUUCCUUGACCAAUUGAUGAUGAGUCAGAUGAUGAGUCGCUGCCAGCUCCUAAAUUUGGUAAUGGUUAUACAUUUAAACUUGGUUCAGUUUUGAUCACUAUAUAUAUUGAUUUGUUAAACCAUAUUUUUGUCCGUGAUGCGAGUCUGAAAGGAGAACACAAUUCCUUUUUUCGUUGAUUUAAAUUCAAAAGAGGUGUGGUGCCAUUAGAUUGUUUGGGUUGACUUGAUUUGACGCAUGGCUUCAGUUUCAGCCCUCGACAAAUACAAACUAGUGUUCCUAGGAGAUCAAUCCAUCGGAAAAACGAGUAUCAUCACUCGGUUUGUACACGCCAUAUUCAAUGAUACUUAUCGGCUGCGGAAUCACAUCUUUAUAAAGUUUAUCGUUUAACAUUUCUGACAAGAGUAUUCUAUUUUGCCAUUCUAUUUUGCCAUUUGCUUUGUUCAGGCAACGAUUGGUGUUGAUUUUCUUUCAAAGAUAAUUAAUAUUGAAGACCAGACUACUGUACGUUUGCAGCUAUGGCUAAUUUCAAUCGCGGAAGGAGAAGCGAAAGCUCGUGAUUUUGGUGUCAUGUUUAUUGAAACAAGUGCAAAGACUGACUUCAAUAUAAAGGAACUAUUCGAGAAGAUCGUUGAAGCCCUCCUAGGGAUAGAAACUGUGUCAUCAACGGAGCAAGACGAGAUAGUCGAUGUCGACCUCAAGUCUCAGUCACAGCAGUGGUCGGGAGAUUCCGCUUGCUAAAAAGGAGAACCAAUACAUUGGUUUAUGCGAAACAUAUAUUUUUAUUGAGCUUUGAAUUGUAUUUGUGUUUGCCGACAGUAUUUCAAAUCAUCGGAUACAGCUGAUUUGAAAGCGCCCUUUAACCUUUUUUUUAUACAGUUUCUCAUCUUACAAUUAAACCUAUGGUCAGGGGCCACAAAUUUCAAUACUACUACCUAUAACCUUCCUUUAUUUUUUCUAUUCAUUCUUCCCUUGUUUGUCGAGA